UCUUCCAUUUAAGAAUGAUGGAGACCACUGUGUUCUUGGGGACCUUUAAUGCUGCAGAAUUUAUUUUGGUACCCUUCCCCAGAUCUGUUCCUCAUCACAAUCCUGUCUCGGAACUCUACAGACAAUUCCUUCGAACUCAUGCCUUGGUUUUUGCUAUGACAUGCACUGUCAACUGUGUGUCCUUUUAUAAACCGGGUAUUUGAGUUUCCAAAUCAUGUCCAAUCAAUUGAAUAUACCACAAGUGGACUCCAUUCAAGUUGUAUAGACAGCUCAAGGAUGAUCAAUGGAAACAGGAUGCACCUGAGCUCAAUUUCGAGUCUCAUAGCAAAGGGUCUGAAUACUUAUGUAAAUAUGAUUAUUAUUUUUUUUUUUAUACAUUUGCUAACAUUUCUAAAAACCUAUUUUCACUUUGCCAUUAUGGGGUAUUGUGUGUAGAUUGAUGAGGAUAAAAAUUCCUUUAAUUUAUUUACUAUCUCAUCUCUGUACCCAACACAUACAAUUAUCUGUAAGGUCUCUGUCUAGCAGUGCAUUUCAAACACAGAUUCAACCACAAAGACCAGGGAGGUUUUCUAAUGCCUUGCAAAGAAGGGCACCAAUUGGUAAUUGUUUUUAAAUAAAAGCAGACAUUGAAUAUCCCUUUGAGCAUGGUGAAGUUAUGAAUUACACUUUUUAUGGUGUAUCAAUACACCCAGUCACUACAAAGUUAAAGGCGUCCUUUCUAACUCAGUUGCCUGAGAGGAAGGAAACCGCUCAGGGAUUUCACCAUGAGGCCAAUGGUGACUUUAAAAGAGUUAACAGAGUUUAAUGGCUGUGAUAGGAGAAAACUGAGGAUGGAUCAACAACAUUGUAGUUACUCCACAAUACUUACCUGAUUGACAGAGCAAAAAGAAAGAAGCCUGUACAGUAUAAAAAAUAUUCCAUAACAUGCAUCCUGUUUGCAACAAGGCACUAACUAAAGUAAUAUUGCAGAAAAUGUGGCAGAGCAAUUAACUUUUUGUCCUGAAUACAAAAUGUUAUGUUUGGGGCAAAUCCAAUACAACACAUUACUGAGUACCACUCUUCAUAUUUUCAAGCAUAGUGGUGGCUGCAUCCUGUUAUGGGUAUUCUUGUUACCAUUAAGGAUGGGGAGUUUUACAGGAUAAAAAAGCAAUGGAAUGGAGAUAAGCACAGGCAAAAUCCUAGAGAAAAAUCUGGGAUAGUCUGCUUUCCACCAGACAAUGGGAGAUGAUUUCACCUUUCAGCAGGACAAUAACCUAAAACACAAGGCCAAACCUACACUGGAGUUGCUUACCAAGAAGACAGUGAAUGUUCCUGAGUGGCUGAGUUACAGUUCUGACUUAAAUCCACUUUAAAAUCUAUGGCAUGACCUGAAAAUGGUUGUCUAGCAAUUCUCAACAACCAAUUUGACAGAGCUUGAUAAAUUUUUUAAAUAGAAAUGGGCAAAUGUUGCACAGUCCAGGUGUGGAAAGCUCUUAGAGAUUUACAUAGAAAGACUCAUAGCUGUAAUCACUGCCAAAGGUGCUUCUACAAAGUAUUGACUCAGGGGUGUGAAUACUUAUGUAAAUGAGAGAUUUCUGUAUUUCAUGUUUUUGCUUUGUCAUUAUGGGGUAUUGUGUGUAGACAGGACUACGGACCAACAACCCUCCUUCUUUCUCCACUGGGGCCCAAUGAGCCCAUAGACAGCUCUACACACACACUCACACACACUCACUCACACUCACUCACACACACACAUAUCUCUGGGGAACAGGACUGAGUCGGAUGAACUCACUCUGCUUCAGAGGUUUCAGUGUUUCUGUUUCGUUGUUUGUUUGUUAGCUUGUAUGUUUGGUUUAUUGGUUGUACUUCCUGUGAGUCGUGGGCUAAAGCGCCGCCGGAUCUCUGGAACAUUCUAGAACACUUUGGAACAUUCUGGAACAUUCAACAUUCCAACUACUGCCACCAUACCGCUGACAGCUGAGAGCCCGCUAAGGCCUACAUGCCCGCCCCUCUGGGUUUGGGUCUGUACUGGUCUGGACCAGAUCAGACCGGAUUGUAUCGGAUCUGACCAUGCAUUGAAGCACUUUUUAGUUCCCACCAACAUCACACUCAACCCUUUUCUCUUUUAAUAUGAGUCAAGUUCUUUAUAGUAUAUCCCAGCAAACAGAGGACAUCUCUAGGACAUUAAGCGAUGUUCCCAUUAGGUUUUUUUUAGGGUUUCAGCAAGACGUUAUCCAUAAGGGGACAUCAGUGCAGGUCCCGGUUUGGUCGCAGUGUAAUGUUAUAAUAUGUUUUUUUUAUGUCCACAAGGGAACUUUAUGAACAGGUUCCUGUUUGGUUCUGGCAACCGGGAACUAAACAAAACCUCCACAGGACCAUGACACAAUGUCUUGACGACCAUUUCGUGAUGUUCCCAGGAAGUCCUAAGGACACAUUUUUGUUUCCAGUAUAAGUGUGGGAAAUUAUACAGAAACAAACAGGAAGAUUUGUGGGAAAAUCUUUUGUUUUACAUUUCUGUCCCACACACAGACACAUACACACCUGCCCUCCCUUGGAUGACAAAAAAAGGAAUCGAGAAAAGCAAUGAAUGAUGGG
rnacentral:lncRNA from 1 species